UACGUAGGGGGCAAGCGUUGUCCGGAAUCAUUGGGCGUAAAGAGCGUGUAGGCGGUUUGGUAAGUCCGCUGUGAAAGCCCGGGGCUCAACCCCGGGAGGCGGGCGGAUACUGUCGGGCUAGAGUCCGGAAGAGGCGAGUGGAAUUCCUGGUGUAGCGGUGAAAUGCGCAGAUAUCAGGAGGAACACCAAUGGCGAAGGCAGCUCGCUGGGACGGUACUGACGCUGAGACGCGAAAGCGUGGGGAGCAAACAGG
rnacentral:rRNA from 1 species